rnacentral:lncRNA from 1 species
UUGGCUUAACUCCUCUCACAGAGGUAAGCUAAGGUAGUCAGUCUCGCUGUGGUUGCAGUGAAUUUGUUUAAUGAUCUUGGUUUCCUAACUGCUAGAUAAUCCACUGGAGCCAAAGGAGUUUUGGUGGAUUGAGGGAACCUACAGAGGUUGGGUAGGGGUGUGUUAGGAGUUGAAUUGUUUCCCCCAAAAAAUUCAUGUUGAAGUUGUAACCCCCAGUACCUCAGAAUGUGGCAUUCUUUGGAAAUAGGGUUGUUGAUUUAAUUUGGGAAGGUGAGGUCAUCCUGCAGUAGUAAGGUGGGCCCCUAAUCCAGUAUGACUGAUGGCCUCAUGAAAAGGGAACAGAGCCCUACAGUUUACACAGUGCUUUUAUGCACGUUUUUCCUAUCCAUUUCUGUGGGGUAGGCAUUAUCAUACCUGUUGAUUUUACUCUAGUUUAUUGCUUUUUUGGCCUACCAUCUGUUAGCCUCACUUUUUCUAACAACAGGAACCCCUUCUGCCAAACACACAACAUAUUUUGGAAAGUUACCCUACCCCAUUCCAACAUGUGCUUGUGUUUAUAUUAAAGUCUCUUUAUUAAUACAGAUUGAGGGGAAGGGGAAGAGGAAGAAAGAAGCAGCUUGGUUUUUCUCUGCCAUAAACAAACAUGUUGGUGCUGUUUUCCUUCAGACAUGCCCUUUGUGCAGAGCUGCCCUUCCCUGGGGCUGUGUGGGCGUUAACUGUGCUUAGACAGCGAUUGUUCCAGCUGCCUGCCCUACUGCUUGGGUUUCACAUGAACAUUUCAUGCAGUGCACCUGGUUUGCCAACUGCAGCCAGACUUUGUGCGAAAUUGUAUUUUACCACUUUUUAAAAGGUUAUGAGCUGUCAAACCUGGAGGCCACUUGGUUAUUCAGGGGUAUGUUUGGACUAAGACCACCCGGGUUUGUUCUUUGCUGACCAAGGCCCUGUUCCCUGGCGUUCGUGGCAACCCAGCACUCCGCUCCAGCCAAGCUUU